UCAGAUUCAGGAAGGCUUGGACUCCGACUGGGUGAGUCCAGGGAGGGAGACAGGGGUAGGUCUUGAGAAUAUUAUCUGGGAGGAGUUUGAUCCUGUGCCUCCCAAGGAUGUGGACAGGGUUCUGGCUUCCAGGUUUUGGAAUACUGUACCCCUCAAGGUAAGAUCUGCUCCACCUUCAAGGCCUUCCAAAAGAGCUUUAAAACUGGCUCUGCCAUUUGACCUGAGGUCCCAAUGGAGGUGUUCCCUGCUGGAGAUGAUUAGUGAACUAGGAAUAUCUCACCCACACCCUGUUAUAUUCUGGUUUCUAAGUUAUUUAAUUUCUGCAAAUUUUACUGUUAAUGUUUUUAUGUCUAUCUUUUUUUUCUAUCUCUGCUUUUAUGAAUUUAUAAGAAUCGCCUGACAGUGAGAUGGGUGGCAUAUAAAUUUAAUAAACAUAUAUUUGUUUUA